rnacentral:rRNA from 1 species
AUUGAACGCUGGCGGCAGGCCUAACACAUGCAAGUCGAGCGGAUGAAGGGAGCUUGCUCCUGGAUUCAGCGGCGGACGGGUGAGUAAUGCCUAGGAAUCUGCCUGGUAGUGGGGGAUAACGUCCGGAAACGGGCGCUAAUACCGCAUACGUCCUGAGGGAGAAAGUGGGGGAUCUUCGGACCUCACGCUAUCAGAUGAGCCUAGGUCGGAUUAGCUAGUUGGUGGGGUAAAGGCCUACCAAGGCGACGAUCCGUAACUGGUCUGAGAGGAUGAUCAGUCAAACUGGAAAUGAGACACGGUCCAAAGACGUACAGGAGGAAGCAGUGGGGAAUAUUGGACGAUGGGCGAAAGCAUCAUCCAGCCAUGCGGAGUGUGUGAAGAAGGGCUUCGGAUUGUAAAGAGCUUUAAGUUGGGAGAAAGGGAAGUAAGUUAAUACCUGGCUGUUUUGACGUUAAAAAUAGAAUAAGCACCGGCUAACUUAGU